rnacentral:misc_RNA from 1 species
CUUAAAAGAUUUAAACUCAUUAGGUGUGCUUUACAAGCAAUGGUUAUGAGUGAUUAAUGGGCACAAUACUGAGAAGAUGGCCAGGGCAAAGCUAUAUUUGUUCGUGAUAAAGCGGUAGAUGAGAAUUGGUGGAAAAAAGUUGAUUACAUUCUUACUUUUACAGGGCCCAUUUAUAACAUUAUCAGAGUUUGUGAUGUAGACAAACCAUGCAUUCAUUUGGUUUAUGAGUUAUGAGAUUCUAUGAUUGAAAAGGUGAAGAAAGUUAUUUUUAAUCAUGAAGGAAAGCAGGCAGAUGGGUUUUCUCCUUUUUAU